GACGAACCGAGCGAACGUUGUUCGGAAUCACUGGGCUUAAAGGGCGCGUAGGCGGGCGAUCAAGUCGGUGGUGAAAUCCUACAGCUUAACUGUAGAACUGCCUCCGAUACUGGUCGUCUCGAGGAAGGUAGGGGCGUGCGGAACAGUUGGUGGAGCGGUGAAAUGCGUUGAUAUCAACUGGAACUCCGGUGGCGAAGGCGGCACGCUGGACCUUUUCUGACGCUGAGGCGCGAAAGCCAGGGGAGCAAACGGG
rnacentral:rRNA from 1 species